UACGUAGGGAGCAAGCGUUGUCCGGAAUCAUUGGGCGUAAAGAGCUCGUAGGCGGCUUGGUAAGUCGGAUGUGAAACCUCCAGGCUCAACCUGGAGUCGCCAUCCGAUACUGCCAUAGCUAGAGUCCGGUAGGGGCCCACGGAACUCCUGGUGUAGCGGUGAAAUGCGUAGAUAUCGGGAGGAACACCUGUGGUGUAGACGGCUAUCUGGACGGCGACUGGCGCUGAGACACGAAAGCGUGGGUAGCAAACAGG
rnacentral:rRNA from 1 species